GCCAUGUUUCCCAAAGGUGGACAAACCAGGAAACAUUGUUUCCUAGCCAUGUUUCCCGAAGGUGGACAAACCAGGAAACAUUAUUUCCAAGCCAUGUUUCCCAAAGGUGGACAAACCAAGAAACAUUGUUUCCUAGCCAUGUUUCCCAAAGGUGGACAAACCAAGAAACAUUAUUUCCAAGCCAUGUUUCCCAAAGGUGGACAAACCAAGAAACAUUAUUUCCAAGCCAUGUUUCCCAAAGGUGAACAAACCAGGA
rnacentral:lncRNA from 1 species